rnacentral:lncRNA from 1 species
AAACGAUGGCUGGAAUUUGUCUCACAAGUAUUUAGGAGCAAAGCACAAUAAUCCACAUGAGGUCUUUUGCACUAACUUAAAUACCAAUUACCAAGCACUCUGUAAUUGAGAAUGACAAUAGUAUCGUCUAGACCAAACGAACUAUUACAGUACAAAAAAGGAACGCUUGAAGUGAAAUUCACAUAAAACUCAACAAUACUAAAUUAUUUAUUCUGCAACGCUGAGAUUCGUCUUACCAAGAAUCAUUUUCCUACUAUUGUCCAUGCCAUGCUAUCAUCCACCCACCACACUGAUAUCCAAUGUCGUAAACAUGGUUUCCUGCAGCUGAUCCUUGCCAUUUUUCAGAAGUACCCAAGACUAUGAACAGCGCUAGCAGCCAAUGAACCACAGGCAGAACAUAUUUCCAU